CUGCCCAGUGAUUUUUUAACGGCCGCGGUAUCCUGACCGUGCAAAGGUAGCAUAAUAAUUUGCCUCCUAAUUAGAGGCUGGAAUGAACGGAUUUACAAAAGUAUAGCUGUCUCCUACUUUUUCAUAAAAACUAAGCUUCAGGUGAAGACGCCUGAAUAAUACUAAAGGACAAAAAGACCCUGUUGAGCUUAACCUAAAGAAAAUAAUUAAUUUUAUAAAGGUUUAGUUGGGGCGACUAAGGAAAAAAUGAAGCUUCCAUAUAAAAAAGACUAUUUGUCCAAUCAAUGACCUGUCUUUAACAAUCAAAAGAAAAGCUACCACAGGGAUAACAGACUAAUCCUCCUCAAGAGCCCAAAUUGACAGGAGGGAUUGGCACCUCGAUGUUGGCUUAAGGUCCCCUUUAAGUGCAGAAGCUUAAAUGGUAGGUUUGUUCAACCUUUAAAACCUUACGUGAUCU
rnacentral:rRNA from 1 species